rnacentral:antisense_RNA from 1 species
AGGGGUGCCUGAGGAGAAAGGGGUGCUGGUUCUUCCUUAUAUCAUAUCCCCUGCCUGCCUCAGCUGGGCUCUGACCCAGCCAGCAGACUGGAGUCCUCUUCUGCAUGAUAAGGAAACUGAGGCUUAGAGGAGUUAUGAAACUGCCCAAGGUUUCACAGCUGAAAUGUAUAAGGACCUGGACUUGCAAAUUUGGCACAAAGUUCUUCUAAUAAGAGGCCAUAAAAUAACCAAAUGAUUUUUUAUGUGCCUAUAGAACCAAAAGAACUAUUUCAGAAUGUCAGCUGAAAAGCACGAUAUUCCAGGUAGUCUUAGCAAACAGCACACCAGAAGAUUAUAUCCCAUGUCUGGCUCAGAAGGUCCUAUGCCCAUGGAGCCUCACUCAUUGCUAGCACAGCAGUCUGAGAUCAAACUGCAAGGUGGCAGCGAGGCUGAGGGAGGGGCGCCCACCAUUGCUGAGGUUUGACUUAGAAACCUUGGCAUAGUGCCUUCCUGGAAAUCCUGGAUUGCAUCUAAAACCAUGUGGCAGAGGGAGAAACCACAGACAGGCCAUCCUGAGAAGACUCAGGCUGAGAUGAAAGCUCUGCUCUCCAGGGACAAAGCAGCAGGGGACCAGCCAUGCUCAGAGAUACUCCACUGGCCAGUGCACAUUUUUUUGAGCAAUUUCACUUGCUUCCACACCACCUGCCCCCCUA